CGUUUCUAGCAGCAUCUUUGUCAUUGUGGUGAGCUCCGGCGUUGUCACUGAGAUUCCGCUGAGAGACCAUCAGUCUUCUCUGGAUUAUCAGGUUUGCAGGACCAACCUAGAGCUCUGGCUGUGGAUCCUGGAUGUGAAAUCAGGUACACGGUUGUUCCGAUUCCAGGGAUUUCCCUUUUCACCCAGGUUGGCUGCCUCUCCAAACACCAGUGAGUGCUGCAUGUUCUGACAUACCCUGAAGUCAUGCAUUAGCACCUUCUCACACAGCAAAGGGUUUGAGCUGGCAGCCAGCAGUUGAAAUUGACAUGUGAGAGUUCUAAGUCCCAGAUGCUAGCUGCCAACUGCCUUUUCGUUCGUGUUUCCCUGGAAACCGAGGACUGGUGAAAGGCUCUUGGGAAAGCAGCUCUUUGCAAAGGAGAAAAGGCUCGUAAAGCAGGACAAAGAUCUUCACCAGAAAUAGAUAUCGAAACAUCAAGGAAAAAAGCCCCUGUCAAUAAUGCCAUUUCCCUGUGGCACUGUCUGGCAGGCAGAAUUUCACAGUGUGAAACAAAAGCACAGCACACCAAGAGCGCUCCUGUCAAUGGGCCACUGACGACUCUAAAAAGACUUGCUGGUGGAGGUGGAGGGAUCAAGGCAGGGCAAGAAGCUGGCAGUGGAAAAACUCCUGUACAUGCGCCAAAUCCCUUGGAUUGCAGAAGUUCAAAAUUGGGAUAUUUAUUGUUUAGAGAAACUGUUCAGGUCUCCAUUGAAUUAUAACAGGAUUGCUACUAGUAAUUUGAAGAAAAUAAAUUAACUUCGUGCACUUAGAAUUCUAUAUAAUGUAUAUAAGUGUCUAUGAACCUUCUAAUUCCAGCUUGACUUAUUUAGAUAUGACAGUUUUUAAAUUACCCCUGAAUAUGUAGUCAAAGCAGAAUAAUCAGGUGUGGUCCCAGGCUACAGGACCUCAGCAGGUAAAAAAGAGAAGAAAUUAGAAACCAGUUAAAUAAUGUCAUACCAAUUUGGUUUCAUAAUAGUAGAAUUCUAUAUUGAGAAUCAGCAUUUUAGAAAUCCUGGAGAUAGUGAUUGUCCGCAGCAGUAAGUUUGCUGCCUUAAAUUUAAAUGCCCUUUUUUGUCCUGUCUCAGUUAAGUUGUUUGUG